UCACCCGGAUUUGGCAGGAAAGUUCAAGGUGUCCUGGCAGCAGGAAGCUCCCUUGCUCCACCCUCUGCUCUGCACACCAGCUCUCUGAGCUUAUCAAGGAUUUGCUGCACCAGAGCUGCCAGAGACAGUGACCUGUUCCGUGUGGACACUCGAGUGGGAGCUGGACCCCCGGCAUGAAGCACUUCGAGCCCUGGGCAGCCUCCACAGUGCUCCUCUUCACUGCUGCGCUCUGGGAUUCCUGCUCAGCAGCAGCUGAAGCCAUCUCCAAUGUUUCCGGAAGCUCCAUGCCCACAACUGAGUAUGAACCACCAUGUCUUAGUAAGUCUUCACAAAUCAUUACUACCACAUUAAAGUCAGGUGAUGAGUCUACACAGGUGACUGAGAGGCUGUCCUGGAAAGGGAUUUAUCUGUUGUCAAGGCCUACCGUUGUGGGUGAACCUCUAGGAUGCACUUCUAAGACUCCUCCACUGGCACGGUAUAGUAUCUUACGUACAUUGAGAAAGACGCAUAGAUUUGAACAGACUAAUUGAUAGCUAAUUCAAAGCUCCCUGCCAGACCACCUGCCUGUAGGCACUAUAUGGAUUCCCAAGAGUGCCUCUUUCCCUAUCCUCUUAGGUCUUUCCCAAAGAGCCAGCUCCAAGCAACUUGAGAUCCCACCAGUACUCCCAGAGUCAUUCUCCAACUCAAACAUCAAAUAUCCCCCACAGUCUUGCACUUCCUGUAUUAUAGAACAUGUACCAACACAGGUAUGUUACUUGAAAGCAUGGCAUAGGCAUAUAGGGCAGGCAUCCCUCUCCCUUCUCUGGGCACACACAAGACA
rnacentral:lncRNA from 1 species